AGGGUCCCCAACUGCCGCCCAGGCUGCGUGUGGGGCCUGGCAUGGCGGCCUCCGGAGUCCGUUAGCUCCCGGCAGUUCUUCCGAAUUGGAAAGCGUCCUCCGGUUCAGCAGGAAGCCGCCGCCUCAUUGAAAUGAGAGGACAGGGCGAAGCCUCCCCCCUCCGCACAGUUCACAGGCCUGCCUUCCCCAUGGAGCCUCUCAGCCCGCGGUUUCCUUCACCCGCACCCGCCACUGAGGGAGCGGCCUUGCUGACCGACUGUUGGUCCAUUCCUUACGGCCAAAGAAUUGCCACAAAUGAAUUGCCUCUUCAUGCAGGCUCAGAUGCUUCUGGCACUGACAUGAAGCUCAUCUCCGCCUCACAUUUUACUGAGAGGAUGGCAUGACUCUCUUUGCUCUAUUCCAUGUUUAGCUGCACACUCACCAGAAGGAACCACGUGAUCAACAUAGCUACCAGCUGACCCCACAGCUGCCUCCUGGCUCCCUUAGUUCCACCGCGGAUUUCUGGGCCUUCCUUAUGAUGAUCCAUCGUGGCUGAGUUCUCGCUCCCAGCCUGAUGUGUCCAAGCAAGAAGUUGGCAGAGGCCUGCAGUGCCCACCGUCGUAAAGUGUGCCCCCGGACAAUGCCGCGGACAGACACACACAGCAGCCCAGCAGGGGUGCAGUGCACUGACGUGAUAGGCAGAGGGAACACCUGGAUAUUUUUCUGAACAUGUUAAGGCAUUUGAUUUAUAGGUCGCACUCUCGAAGCACAGUAGCUGUCGCCUACGCUGACUUCCGGAACGUGAGGUGUUCUGUGUGGAAGGGAAAAGCCGACAGCAGAUUCCUAGCCGAGUCUAAGAAUCCUCAUGGGAAACAGACUGCGCCCUCCGCAGCCUUUGAUCCCAUCGAUAUUAUGUGUUGUCUUUCAGUCCCACCGGGUUGACAUCACUUUCCCACGUUACUCCUUCAGUCAAUAUUUGAAGGCCUAUUUCUGUAAAUAUCAGGAACUGGUAGGACUCCCUGCAACAGAAACCCUUGACCCCCAAGUGACAUAAUGAACAGUCACCGGCCAAAGCUCGAAGCCGCUUCCUGGAACUCGUGUGCUCAGACCAGCAAGGAGAGCCCAGCGAUGCCAGCUGGCCUGCCUCCUCCCCGCACAGCCUGACCUUCAGAGAGCAAACAGUGCCAGGCACACCUCCUCCCGUGUGCCCGCUCCCGUUAGCGCCGCCCGCUAUGGCGGGGGGCGGGGGGGGGUGACCCCUGCUACUCCGUUGCAGCACCAGAAUGGAGCCCCCAGUGUUCUGGCGGGUGGCCUGCUGGGUCUGGCUUGAGUUUGACAUUGCCAAAGUAAACUAAAAAUCA